ACCAGUGGCCGGUUCUGUAAAAGGGUUGGAUCCGACGCGUUUAGGAGGCUACUAUAGGCUCUCCUUCUCAACUCCUACUCAAUACGUCCACGACGUGCAGAACGGUAAUUUGUCGCCUAGAUAUCCAAGCUUGGGUACACGGGGAAACCCACCCCCCUUGGGCGGAUGGGCGGCAAGGCUGAAUUGAGAGGU
rnacentral:ribozyme from 1 species